rnacentral:rRNA from 1 species
GACGAACGCUGGCGGCGUGCUUGACACAUGCAAGUCGAACGGAAAGGCCUGCUUUCCCUUGUGGAUUGCGGGUACUCGAGUGGCGAACGGGUGAGUAACACGUGAGUGAUCUGCCCCCAACUUGGGUAUAAGCCUGGGAAACUGGGUCUAAUUCCCGAUAGGACUGCAGGGUGGUGCCUGUGGUGGAAAACGAUUUUCUAGUGGUUGGGGAUGAGCUCGCGGCCUAUCAGCUUGUUGGUGGGGUAAUGGCGUACCAAGGCGGCGACGGGUAGCCGGCCUGAGAGGGUGGACGGCCACAUUGGGACUGAGAUACGGCCCAGACUCCUACGGGAGGCAGCAGUGGGGAAUAUUGCACAAUGGGCGGAAGCCUGAUGCAGCGACGCCGCGUGGGGGAUGACGGCCUUCGGGUUGUAAACUCCUUUCGACCGCGAGGAAGCCACCUGGUUGGAAGGGUGGUGACGGUAGUGGUAGAAGAAGCACCGGCUAACUACGUG